UACGUAGGGUGCGAGCGUUGUCCGGAAUUGUUGGGCGUAAAGAGCUCGUAGGCGGUCUGUCGCGUCGAUCGUGAAAACUUGGGGCUUAACCCUGAGCUUGCGGUCGAUACGGGCAUGACUGGAGUUCGGCAGGGGAGACUGGAAUUCCUGGUGUAGCGGUGAAAUGCGCAGAUAUCAGGAGGAACACCGGUGGCGAAGGCGGGUCUCUGGGCCGAUACUGACGCUGAGGAGCGAAAGCAUGGGGAGCGAACAGG
rnacentral:rRNA from 1 species